GACGAAGGUGGCGAGCGUUGUUCGGUGUCACUGGGCUUAAAGCGUGUGUAGGCGGAAAAGUAAGCGCUUUGUGAAAUCCCCCGGCUCAACCGGGGAAUUGCUUGGCGUACUGCUUUUCUUGAGGCAAGCAGGGGUGCAUGGAACUCUUGGUGGAGCGGUGGAAUGCGUAGAUAUCAAGAGGAACGCCGGUGGUGAAGACGGUGCACUGGGCUUGUCCUGACGCUGAGACACGAAAGCGUGGGGAG
rnacentral:rRNA from 1 species